rnacentral:rRNA from 1 species
UACGUAGGGCGCAAGCGUUGUCCGGAAUUAUUGGGCGUAAAGAGCUCGUAGGCGGUCUGUCACGUCUGCCGUGAAAACCCGAGGCUUAACCUCGUGGCUUGCGGUGGAUACGGGCAGACUAGAGUGAUGUAGGGGAGACUGGAAUUCCUGGUGUAGCGGUGAAAUGCGCAGAUAUCAGGAGGAACACCGAUGGCGAAGGCAGGUCUCUGGGCAUUAACUGACGCUGAGGAGCGAAAGCAUGGGGAGCGAACAGG